CUCUUAUCCUUCUUUAUUUCCUUCUCCGUCCCAGUUUCUGGAUUAAAUGUUUCUGCUCUGUUCCCAUCCCUCCAGGAUGCAGGAAAGGGAAUUUGAUCAAUCAGUAACCAAGAGUAGAAAACUAAAUGCUUGCAGAAGCCAAAGGAAAAAAGCCAAGUUGGCUGGGUAGGGACAAAGACACCAUUUGCUGGUUAAAGGGACAGCUGCUUCCUUGCUCAGCCUCCUGAGUGCUGGGAUAAGAAGUGUGCACCAUCAUGCCCUACUGGGAUUUGAACUUUUGAUCUUCCUGCUUCAGCCUUGGAAGUGCUGGGAUUACAGGCAUGUGCCAUCAUGUCUGGCUGAUGUUCUGUUUCUUGAUCUGGAUGCUGGUAAUGCAGGAAGAAAGAAGAUGCAGUGGUCAAGUGACUUGUCCAAGAUCACCCAGCUGGUCAGCAGAAUCCCUACAUCAUGAAUUAAGACCUUGGAGCCUAACCCCACAUCGCUGAAGUUUUACUCCAUGUUUCUGAGAACCUUAGAGUUUUGAAGACGUGCUCCAGUGGUUCUGCAAAUGUUUAUCUGACUUAUUUUUUUUUAAAGUUAGCAAUUCUUGUUUUGUUUUUUGAGACAGGGUCUCACUAUGUAGCUCAGGCUGACCUUGAACUCACUGUGCAGCCCAGGUUGGCCUUGAACUCAAAGGUGAUCCUCCUGCCUCAGUCUCUGGAAUGUUGGAAUUAUAGGCAUGC
ensembl:lncRNA